CCCAUCCCUUACAAAAAAAUUAUUGCAGUUUUUCUGAAUUGUACUGCAGUUAUUUUUGUACGGAAGUACAAAUGCAAUAAAGCUACAGCACAUUGAAGUACAACUGUAGGU